CACUGUGCUCCAAAACAGCAAUUGUCAGUGACAGAAAGCAUUAGAAGUAAUGGGGUGACAUGGAGCAACACGUGUGUCCUGUCCCUUCAGCAGAGGGAGACUAGCACUGCUCAGGGAACACAGAAACGUUGCUGGGAGAAUACAGCAGCACAGAGGAACAGCAGUACUUCUGGACAUGAGAACAGUGUUUAACUGAUUUACUAUUUAACCGAUUGUGCAAGUCUGCAGCCAUGUAUACACAGCGAUAAGCCCUUUUGCUUUUGAAGUUCUAAACCCUUCACCCAUGUUCUGUUGCUCGAUAGCUUAUUUUCAAACUGAUUGCAGAGCACUGUCACGAACUCUUCAUCUUUUUUUUCCCCCUUUUCCGGCAGUGUGAGCUAUCAGGUGAAGUUCCAUACCAGUGCAUCCCUCCUGCAUGUAAGCUCUGCUGACCAUUGCUUUCAGUCUGGUGUUUCACAAGCAGAAUGAUGUAGAAAGGUUCAAAACUUGUGAGCGCUCUGAUGGAGGGCAAUCUUAGGAGUGAAAUUAUAUGUUAUAAUGCUUGAUUGAAGUAUAUCAGCUUUGAUAAACGUUUCGAGCACUGAUAGACCUGAUAAUCAAAUGCUUGCAAUGCUCCUGGUGAUGGUAUGUAUGUGAACUGCCACAUCACGUCAGGUGCCAGGGAUCAAAAGUCACAGACUUUGAAAUGCCACAAUUACUCGUGAUGAUGACUUAUUUUCAUCUUGCAGUCCUUGUAUAGCAAACAUAAGCCCUGUUGUUUCUCUUGCUGUAACAAUAAACAAACUGCUCAUGUGAUGGUAGCCCUACUACUUUUUUUUUGCCCUUGUUUUUUCCACACAUUUUUGAACCUGAGAAUGGUAAGUGUCAAGACAGGCACACGGCAUAGAGCUAUACAUACACUGUGUAGUCAGUGCUAGCGUGAGGCAUGAAAUCUAGACCUGGCUGGGUGACAUCAGGU
rnacentral:lncRNA from 1 species